rnacentral:rRNA from 1 species
GAUGAACGCUAGCUACAGGCUUAACACAUGCAGGUCGAGGGGAAACGACAUCGGAAGCUCGCUUUUGAUGGGCGUCGACCGGCGCACGGGUGAGUAACGCGUAUCCAACCUGCCCACCACUUGGGGAUAACCUUGCGAAAGUAAGACUAAUACCCAAUGACGUCUCUAGAAGACAUCUGAAAGGGAUUAAAGAUUUAUCGGUGAUGGAUGGGGAUGCGUCUGAUUAGCUUGUUGGCGGGGUAACGGCCCACCAAGGCGACGAUCAGUAGGGGUUCUGAGAGGAAGGUCCCCCACAUUGGAACUGAGGCACGGCCCAGACUCCUACGGGAGGCAGCAGUGAGGAAUAUUGGUCAAUGGGCGAGAGCCUGAACCAGCCAAGUAGCGUGCGGGACGACGGCCCUAUGGGUUGUAAACUGCUUUUAUAAGGGAAUAAAGUGGGUCACGUGUGACUUUUUGCAUGUACCUUAUGAAUAAGGACCGGCUAAUUCCGUG